AUUGAACGCUGGCGGCAUGCCUUACACAUGCAAGUCGAACGGUAACAGGUCUUCGGAUGCUGACGAGUGGCGAACGGGUGAGUAAUACAUCGGAACGUGCCCGAUCGUGGGGGAUAACGAAGCGAAAGCUUUGCUAAUACCGCAUAAGAUCUACGGAUGAAAGCAGGGGACCGCAAGGCCUUGCGCGAACGGAGCGGCCGAUGGCAGAUUAGGUAGUUGGUGGGAUAAAAGCUUACCAAGCCGACGAUCUGUAGCUGGUCUGAGAGGACGACCAGCCACACUGGGACUGAGAAAAGGCCCAGACUCCUAAGGGAGGCAGCAGUGGGGAAUUUUGGAAAAUGGGCGAAAGCCUGAUCCAGCCAUGCCGCGUGCAGGAUGAAGGCCUUCGGGUUGUAAACUGCUUUUGUAAGGAACGAAAAGACUCUGGUUAAUACCUGGGGUCCAUGACGGUACCGUAAGAAUAAGCACCGGCUAACUACGUG
rnacentral:rRNA from 1 species